GGGUUGUGAGGUUAAGCGACUAAGCGUACACGGUGGAUGCCCUGGCAGUCAGAGGCGAUGAAGGACGUGCUAAUCUGCGAUAAGCGUCGGUAAGGUGAUAUGAACCGUUAUAACCGGCGAUUUCCGAAUGGGGAAACCCAGUGUGAUUCGUCACACUAUCAUUAACUGAAUCCAUAGGUUAAUGAGGCGAACCGGGGGAACUGAAACAUCUAAGUACCCCGAGGAAAAGAAAUCAACCGAGAUUCCCCCAGUAGCGGCGAGCGGACGGGGAGCAGCCCAGAGCCUGAAUCAGUGUGUGUGUUAGUGGAAGCGUCUGGAAAGGCGUGCGAUACAGGGUGACAGCCCCGUACACAAAAAUGCACAUAUUGUGAGCUUGAUGAGUAGGGCGGGACACGUGGUAUCCUGUCUGAAUAUGGGGGGACCAUCCUCCAAGGCUAAAUACUCCUGACUGACCGAUAGUGAACCAGUACCGUGAGGGAAAGGCGAAAAGAACCCCGGCGAGGGGAGUGAAAAAGAACCUGAAACCGUGUACGUACAAGCAGUGGGAGCACGCUUAGGCGUGUGACUGCGUACCUUUUGUAUAAUGGGUCAGCGACUUAUAUUCUGUAGCAAGGUUAACCGAAUAGGGGAGCCGAAGGGAAACCGAGUCUUAACUGGGCGUUAAGUUGCAGGGUAUAGACCCGAAACCCGGUGAUCUAGCCAUGGGCAGGUUGAAGGUUGGGUAACACUAACUGGAGGACCGAACCGACUAAUGUUGAAAAAUUAGCGGAUGACUUGUGGCUGGGGGUGAAAGGCCAAUCAAACCGGGAGAUAGCUGGUUCUCCCCGAAAGCUAUUUAGGUAGCGCCUCGUGAAUUCAUCUCCGGGGGUAGAGCACUGUUUCGGCAAGGGGGUCAUCCCGA
rnacentral:rRNA from 1 species